rnacentral:rRNA from 1 species
GAUGAACGCUGGCGGCGUGCCUAAUACAUGCAAGUCGAGCGAAUGGAUUAAGAGCUUGCUCUUAUGAAGUUAGCGGCGGACGGGUGAGUAACACGUGGGUAACCUGCCCAUAAGACUGGGAUAACUCCGGGAAACCGGGGCUAAUACCGGAUAACAUUUUGAACCGCAUGGUUCGAAAUUGAAAGGCGGCUUCGGCUGUCACUUAUGGAUGGACCCGCGUCGCAUUAGCUAGUUAGUGAGGUAACGGCUCACCAAGGCAACGAUGCGUAGCCGACUUGAGAGGGUGAUCGGCCACACUGGGACUGAGACACGGCCCAGACUCCUACGGGAGGCAGCAGUAGGGAAUCUUCCGCAAUGGACGAGAGUCUGACGGAGCAACGCCGCGUGAGUGAUGAAGGCUUUCGGGUCGUAAAACUCUGUUGUUAGGGAAGAACAAGUGCUAGUUGAAUAAGCUGGCACCUUGACGGUACCUAACCAGAAAGCCACGGCUAACUACGUGCCAGCCGCCGCCGUAA